rnacentral:rRNA from 1 species
AUGAACGCUGGCGGCGUGCUUAACACAUGCAAGUCGAACGAUGAAGCCCAGCUUGCUGGGUGGAUUAGUGGCGAACGGGUGAGUAACACGUGAGUAACCUGCCCUUAACUCUGGGAUAAGCCUGGGAAACUGGGUCUAAUACCGGAUAGGAGCGUCCACCGCAUGGUGGGUGUUGGAAAGAUUUAUCGGUUUUGGAUGGACUCGCGGCCUAUCAGCUUGUUGGUGAGGUAAUGGCUCACCAAGGCGACGACGGGUAGCCGGCCUGAGAGGGUGACCGGCCACACUGGGACUGAGACACGGCCCAGACUCCUACGGGAGGCAGCAGUGGGGAAUAUUGCACAAUGGGCGCAAGCCUGAUGCAGCGACGCCGCGUGAGGGAUGACGGCCUUCGGGUUGUAAACCUCUUUCAGUAGGGAAGAAGCGAAAGUGACGGUACCUGCAGAAGAAGCACCGGCUAACUACAUG